rnacentral:rRNA from 1 species
UAAUACGUAGGGUGCAAGCGUUAAUCGGAAUUAUUGGGCGUAAAGGGUGCGCAGGCGGUAUUGUAAGUCAGAUGUGAAAGCCCCGGGCUUAACCUGGGAAUUGCGUUUGAAACUGCAAUGCUAGAGUGUGGUAGAGGAGAGUGGAAUUCCAUGUGUAGCAGUGAAAUGCGUAGAGAUGUGGAAGAACACCAAUGGCGAAGGCAGCUCUCUGGAUUAACACUGACGCUCAUGCACGAAAGCGUGGGGAGCAAACAGG